rnacentral:pre_miRNA from 1 species
AUCACCCGGAAUCUUGUUAAAAUGCAGGUUCCCUUUCAGGAGAUCUGGGGAGGAGCCUGAGAGCCUGCAUUUCUAGCAAACUCCCAGGUGAUGCGGA